GGGCGAUUAGCUCAGCUGGGAGAGCACCUGCCUUACAAGCAGGGGGUCGCAAGUUCGAUCCUUGCAUCGCCCA
rnacentral:tRNA from 2 species